GUGCCAGCAGCCGCGGUAAUUCCAGCUCCAAUAGCGUAUAUUAAAGUUGUUGUGGUUAAAAAGCUCGUAGUUGAACCUUGGGCCUGGCUGGCCGGUCCGCCUCACCGCGUACACUGGUCCGGCCGGGCCUUUCCCUCUGUGGAACCCCAUACCCUUCACUGGGCGUGGCGGGGAAACAGGACAUUUACUUUGAAAAAACUAGAGUGCUCCAGGCAGGCCUAUGCUCGAAUACAUUAGCAUGGAAUAAUAAAAUAGGACGCGCGGUUCUAUUUUGUUGGUUUAUAGGACCGCCGUAAUGAUUAAUAGGGACAGUCGGGGGCAUCAGUAUUCAACUGUCAGAGGUGAAAUUCUUGGAUCAGUUGAAGACUAACUACUGCGAAAGCAUUUGCCAAGGAUGUUUUCAUUAAUCAGGAACGAAAGUUAGGGGGAUCGAAGACGAUCAGAUACCGUCGUAGUCUUAACCAUAAACUAUGCCGACUAGGGAUCGGACGGUGUUAUUUCAUGACCCGUUCGGCACCUUACGAGAAAUCAAAAGUGCUUGGGGCUCCAGGGGGAGUAUGGUCGCAAGGCUGAAACUUAAAGAAAUUGACGGAAGGGCACCCACCAGGGGUGGAGGCCUGCGGCUUAAUUUGACUCAACACGGGCGAAACUCACCAGGUCCAGACACAAUAGGAUUGACAGAUUGAGAGCCUCUUUCUGGAUUUGGUGAGGUGGGUGUGCAUGGCCGGUUCUAAGUGGUGGGGGUGACUUGUCUGGUUAAUUGCCAAUAAGAACGAGAACUUAAACUUGGCUAAAUAUCACGUAUUGCUCCUGGCAGAGGGCGCUGAGCAUUCUUAGAGGAACUUUCGGGUUCAAGGCCGGAAGGAAAGUUGUAGACGCGAUGA
rnacentral:rRNA from 1 species